UUUAACAACAACAUUUUCAUCAUUCACACAAUUCAAUCAAAUUUCAUGGGUUUAACAUCAACAUUUUCAUUGUUCACACAAUUCAAUCAAUUUUCAUGGGUUUAACCUCAACAUUAUCAUCAUUCACAUAAUUCAAUCAAAUUUCAUGGGUUUAACAAUGAAUUUUUUUAUCAUUCACACAAUUCAAUCAAAUUGCAUAGGUUUAACAACAACAUUUUCAUCAUUCACAAAAUUAAAUAAACUUUUAUGGGUUUAACCUAAAAUUUUUCAGCAUUCACAUAAUUCAAUUAAAUUUCAUGGGUUUAACAACGACAAGUUCAUCAUUCCCAUAAUUCAAUCCAUUUUUAUGGGUUUAAAAGCAACAUUAUCAUCAUUCACAUAAUUCAAUCGAAUUUCAUGGGUUAACAACAACAUUUUCAUGGGUCCCACAAUUCAAUCAAAUUGCAUGGGUUUAACGGUAACAUUUUCAUCAUUCCCAUAAUUCAAUAAAUUUAGAUGGGUUUUGACAACAACAUUUUAAUCAAUCACAGAGUAAAAUCAAAUUUCAUGGGUUUAACUACAACAUUUUCAUCAUUCACACAAUUCAAUAAAAUUUCAUGGGUUUAACCUACACAUUUUCAUCAUUCACACAAUUCAAUCAAAUUGCAUAGGUUUAACAACAACAUUUUCAUCAUUCACACAAUUCAAUCAAAUUUCAUGGGUUUAACAACAACAUUUUCAUCAUUCACACAAUUCAAUCAAAUUUCAUGGGUUUAACAUCAACAUUUUCAUUGUUCACACAAUUCAAUCAAUUUUCAUGGGUUUAACAUCAACAUUAUCAUCAUUCACAUAAUUCAAUCAAAUUUCAUGGGUUUAACAACGAUUUUUUUAUCAUUCACACAAUUCAAUCAAAUUUCAUAGGUUUAACAACAACAUUUUCAUCAUUCACAAAAUUCAAUAAACUUUAAUGGGUUU
rnacentral:lncRNA from 1 species